AUUGAACGCUGGCGGCAAGCCUAACACAUGCAAGUCGAACGAGUGGCGGACGGGUGAGUAAUGUCUGGGAAACUGCCUGAUGGAGGGGGAUAACUACUGGAAACGGUAGCUAAUACCGCAUACCAUCGGAUGUGCCCAGAUGGGAUUAGCGAGUAGGUGGGGUAAAGGCUCACCUAGGCGACGAUCCCUAGCUGGUCUGAGGGGAUGACCAGCCACAUGGGAACUGGGGCACUGUCCAGACUCCUACGGGAGGCAGCAGUGGGGAAUAGUGCACAAUGGGAGCAAGCCUGAUGCAGUCAUGCCGCGUGUAUGAAGAAGGCCUUCGGGUUGUAAAGUACUUUCAGCGGGGAGGCGUUACCCGCAGAAGGAGCACCGGCUAACUCCGUGCAAGCAGCCGCGGUAAUAC
rnacentral:rRNA from 1 species